rnacentral:tRNA from 1 species
CCGUUAGCUCAGUUGGUAGAGCAUCUGACUUUUAAUCAGGUGGUCGCGCGUUCGACAAAUUCGCCGGGAGCGAAUUUGAACUGCCGCAGGUAGCCCGCAGGGCGAG